UACAGAUACUCCUCUAAGUCUUGAAGUUGCCAGCAAUUUAUUUUUUGUUUUUGUUGUCCAUUUUGUUUUGUUUCAAUUUCCUCCUCUAACAAGGUACCUACAUAGUGAUCAGGUAUUUCUCUAAAUGUUAUUUGUAAAUAAAAACAACCAUUUGAUUAGAUUUAUCACUACAUUAGAAAACAAUGCAGUGAAAUAUACUAAGAAUAAUAAGUGGUCCUUACUACAGUGAUGCAGGCAUAUUAUGCAUUAUCCAAAUUUUCUUUUCUGCCCUCUUUCCUAAUUAAAAAUGCUAAUUAAAAAAAAAAGAGGAAGAAAGCAUACAAUAAGACAGUCGAAAAGAAAACUGUUGGAGCAAAACCAACACCGCUCAACCUCACUAGCUCUAUCUGUUAAAACACCAGCUGCUGGAAGUAGUGACAUAGUUAAUAUGAAAACUUCAAUUUCUGCUAUAGAAUUUCUAACGUCUACUUUCAGGAAAAUUACUGCAUUCUGCCCACGAAGAAUGUGCAGACAUCCAACGUGAAAAGUGGCUCUUUAGUGCUGGCAAAAGAUCUAUCACUUCUCAGCAAAUGCAAUUUGGCUGGAAACCACUUGUUAUAAUGUCUCUUUGAUAGCCAACCAAAUUUUAUAAAAUUAAAACCUCUUCUUCUUAGAGUAUUCAACAUAUUUAUUAUGUGAAGAAAAAAACACUAGGAAGCAUAAUCCCUUUUCAGCAUAUGGCUUCAAGUGCUGAGGAUUCUUGUCUAGAAUCGAAGUGAAAAACAACAGAGACACUAUUUACAUCAAUUAAUUUUUUUGAUAGAUAAAUUAUGUGAUAGGCAGUGCUAGUGGACUUUACGUCAAUCAGUUAGCACUACAUGCUUAACCUCUAUGUGACCCCUUGGAGGAAAAGACACUGAUUUCUUUUUUGGGCAGUAGCGGCAUUUUAACCUGCUUUCCUAAGUCCACACAUGCACACAACAGUGACCUUUUUCAGAGCAAGUGCACACCCUUCUGGGAAGGUAUCCAAUGACAUUUUGUCCUAAGGGGUUCUACGAAUACUGAGAAUUUGCUAAUGAUAAAACAUAUGACACCAUUCAGAAAUCCUUAGAAUUAAAAUAGCAGAAUUGUUUUUCCUUCUAUCUAAAGAGUUUUUAGGAAUCCAGCAUCCAUUUAAAAUUACUCUCACAAGUCACGAACUCAUACUGCAUUUAGAGCCACAGCAUGGCUCUGAAAGUUUCCUUAAAGUCUGGUGAUUUCAAACUUUUGAUCAGUUGGUCAGGUCUAAGUCCUCAUAAAAAUAUGUACGGAGGAAGGAAAUGAAAUUGAGCCAACUGAGCUCUUCUUGGAGAUCCUUCACUCAGCACCCUGCUAUCACUACUUUCAAAAAUCAGAGUGUCCUGGAGACAGACUUGCAGACCAGGGAUGGCUCAGAGUUGUGUGAGUGGUCAGAGGUCAACUGGUGGUAACAAAAAGCAACCAAGAAAAUUUAAAAGUUUAACUUUCCUUAAUUCCUGCUUUCAUAUGGCUUCGAACAUCCCAAUGCCAUUUUUCAUUCCUAGUUUGUUAAAUACUUCUGACUGAAGAAAAAAAGAAAUUUAAGGGUUUUUUUUUACCUUAACUUUAGAAAGGUGCUCUUGCCUAGAAGUUCAUCCAACUAAAAUACUUACUGGAGAAAUGAAAACUGUUGCCUAUUACAGAAUAACAAAUCUAGUUAGUAUAGAGUCUCCACAGGUUGCCUUUGCAGUAACCACAGCUCUCACGAAAAGGCAUUCUGGUUUCUAGGCAUGAUUUAAUUUUCCAGGGAUCAGAAUUUGAAAUCAGACUUCUACUCAGACUGUAUUCAUAGUCAAAUUAUUUAUUCACCAAGAACAACUAACACUAUAACAGAAUUACUCUUUUCUCUGAGAUUAUCUCAAACAGAAGGUGUAGAAUAACGCACUCUCAGCAACGACAAAGACAUUCCUCCUCUGACUGAAAGAGAAUAACACAAAAUAUACUCAUAAUGUGACUUUACAAUUUCACUCACUCUCUUCUCAAACAAAACCUUUCAAAAUGUCACUUCAAAGUUCACUGUAUUUGAACAGGUGCUAUUUAAACUAAAAUAACUAUUUUGAAGAAAGAAAGGAAUAGAUGGGUUCUUGCCUUAGAAUUUAUCCCUUUUCUUGCAUGGGGCUUUUCUCAGCAAUAUGUUUUUGACUGACACUGCAGAGUUACUCUUUAAAAUAAAAAAGACCUCAUAACAUUGAUUUUUUGAUUUUUGCAGAAAACACUCUUUCCAGCUGAAAUUUCUUACUUGAUCUCUGCACAAAGAACUUGGAAAAAUGUAAGUAAUUAAUUGAAGAAGAUGUUUAUGGGAACAGAAAACCUUGAUGUUGAUCCUGAUGUGAAUGGAAGAACACAACCAUAAUUUUGUUUCAGUAUCUAGGUGCAUCUUCUCCCAUUGUGCUAGGUUUUUAACUUUCUGUUAGGUACCAAGCUAUAAAUUUAAUUAAUCACUGUUUUAAGAGACAAAUUAUUGGGAAGAUUUAAUAUUAACACAUUAAGCUAUGGGGCCAUUUCCACACCCUUUUCAUAUUCCUCAAGAAAAUAUUACAAACAAAAUAAAACACAGUCCUGCCCUCUUUACUGCAGACAACAUUUAUUCAGAUUUCUCAUGUUAAAAAUUGGAAGUAGUUUGCAAAUGGGUCUGCCAAGAAAAUGAAAACAGAUGUCUUAAACUGAGGACUGGCAGGUUGACUAUUGCAAGUACUUUCCUACCAACACCAAGUACCCAGCACCAUCAACCACAACAAUCAUUUUGUUUUGCCCAUGACAGCAACUUGAAACCCUAGGUACUUUUGAAACACUCAGCCCACUAAUGAGAAUUUCACAGUCCUACUAUGUAAGUAACCCAAGUCACAUAUUCUAACUUCUGGCUCCUUUCUAUUUACAGUGACAAUUUAUCCAGUAAUUCCUUAGAAGAUGCAAGCGUGCACUGGCAAAGAAACUAAUGCUUCACACUCCCCCACAGAGUACUGGUAAAUCAUUUACUUCAUUUCCAUCAAUCUAUUGCUGAUUCAAAACAAAAAUUGACAAUAAGGAAAAACAUACAGAAAUUUCCGUUACAGAAUUGGAAAAAAAACCUUUUAUGUAUGACAAGAUGCACUGUUAUCAGAAUGGUUAUUAUUUCUGUAUUGUUCACAGACAACUUCCAAAAAGUAAAUGUGUGUGAAAUUACAUGGACAACAGAGAUAGGAAAUUGGAAGGUGCUCAUAAUGCAAACCUAUUUACAGUCAACAUGCAUGUACAUGCUCAAGUGUUUCUACAACAGUUUAUUAGCAAAUUAAAUAAAUAUUCAUGGUAUGUUACCUAAUUUAAAAGAACAGUUGUUGAAAAGAAUGCAUCACACAUUUAGUGUCAAAUUCAUUUAUAUUUGGUAAAUUACGGUAGAGGUAUGAUAUUCUCAAUCACUGACAAAUUAAUGAAACUAGUAAAACCUACAACCAACUAGUUCAAACUGAUUUUAAUAUUCAGUUUCAUAAUCUUGUUUUUAUCUUUUUUUUUUCGUACCAUUAGGUAACUGAAGUAGUCAGAACAAAUCAUUACAUAAUGAUCACUUGUUACCUUUUACAGCUGGUCAAUAAUGGCGUGCUGCGCACACUAACACCAUAGUAUAUUUAAUGAGAUGUAUCUAACAGAUCAGCUUUCAAGAUGCAAGCUGCAUUGGUUUUGUGGUGAGCCAUGGGAAAUAAACAUCCAUGAAUUGCAAUGAACAUUCAACAUUUUAAAAGCUUCAUAUCAAUUGACUGAACCAGAGAGAACUGAGUUCAGAGGAGGCAACGCCAGUCUAAUCAAUACAAUCAGUGAAUGACCAGAACGUAAUCCUCUCACUUCUGAUGCUUUACAGUGCAACAGAAACACUAGGUUCUCCAUUCAGACUGCAAGAUCUGGCAGUGCAGGCAGUGUGCAGUGGAAAGCCAAUACUAGAAGGAAAAGAAGUUUUGUGGAGGUCCCAUUAAGGAACUGAAGCUCCAAAAACAUGACCUUGAUUUCUCUGUAGGAAACAGUUAACAACAUACACAUUUAAUUGAUGGUCAAGAGAAAGAACAGAUUACAAAUACAACCCAGUAAGUGAUUAUUUGCAAGACAUCAGUGUCAGCCCAAAGAAACUGAAAAAAUGAUAAAGGCAAAAGACACAACCCUAAAACAUACAUAGGUUUACACUUACUACUCUUGGACUCCACUGAGGGAACUCAAGGUAAUUAAGUUAAUGUGCACAUGUAGCUGAAGGAUUGAGGCCAAGGGAGGAUUAAAAAGCAGGAGCUAUAGCAACAGACUAGGGACAAUAGCUGAAGCAUUCAGCAGAAGUGAACUUUUCCCCUUUAGACCUGUGGACACUACAGAAAAUCCAGUUCAAGUUGUGACUACGUUAAAUCCUAGCCUUUUUGAGUUUUAGAAAGGUAUGUGCCACCAUUCCAGGAAAGAACCUUCAACCUUCCUGCAAAAACAGCUGGUCAAUUUCACAGGCAUUUUUUUUUCCUUUUUUUUCCCCCUCCAUAUACCAUUAUAACCCUACCAGUUUAUUUUCAAGUAUAGUGUAAUUUGCAGCAUACCUUUUUUUAUAAAUCUCCCUGUAUAUGUAAAUAACAGCUUUUUAUUGGCUUACAUGAAUUUUCAAAUUUGAUUUAAACCCCUGUAAAUGAAACAGUUGUUUGUUCUUACAGAUUUUACCAAAUGCCACGUACAUUUUGUUAAAUAAACCACUACUUGUAUAUGAGAUACAGACCUAGCACUGCAGAUACAUGUUACUAUGAAAUGAACACAGACAAGAAGCAAAACUAGCUAUAAAUAUAUGGAGCAUUGCUUAAUUUCUCUCUAUAGAGUUACAUUACACUGCUAGAAGUAGCUGCAGUUCAAAUACACUCCAGAUAUCCAAGAUAAAACUUUUCUAGAAAAACAGAACAAAAAUAUUUUUAUUUUAACAACAGCAACUACAACUUUUACUCAUUCUCUUCUUUUUCUCCACGAUAGAAAAUGGGUGCAAAGAAUAUAAUACAACCCCUUUCUUUUCCCUCAAAUCUGAGAAUAAUUUACCCCAGAAGUGUAAUUAUCUGAAUGCAAGCAUAGAUGAAAAGCUUAAGUCAUUUUUGUUAUUCUGGCAAUAAACACAUUACAAUUAAGCAAGAACAAAAUGAAACAAAUUACUGUGCUCUAAAGAAGUAAUACUUCUGAAAAUUACUUUUGGGUAUUGACAGUUAACAAGUUCUGUUGGUCUGACUCUCAACUGUUGCUUUCCAGAGUAAUACAGGCAUUGAAACAACACUUAUUGAGCAUAUCCAUACAGAAAGCUCUGGUGUGAACUUCUUAGUGCCUUGAGAUUGCUUAUUAUGAAUGGUUCCCUACUUUUCUGCAGAUACACAAUUCAUGUGUACAGAAAAAAUAAUAAAUAUCACCACAUAUAAAUGCAAUGGUGUGAAAAGAUGCCUUUGUUCUGACAUUGUCUGACCCUUAUCUUUAGAGGAUAACUGCACAGGCAUACGGAGAAUCUAGUUUCUUCAAAUCCAAAUUCUGAAAAUCUAAACAUUUAUUUGCAAGUGUAAAAUCUAAAAAAUAUAAUGAAGCUUCAGUAAAACUUUUGGCCAAAAUCAGGCAGCAUACAGACAAGUAGCUCUGCUAAAUGAUUAGCUCCUCCAUAGGUUCUCUUCAACAUUCUCUAUCAAUUUCUGUAUUACAAAGGAUGCCUGCAGACUGCCCUACCGGCCACUACUGUCACCUCAAAAAUGGAAUUUCAUAGCUUAUAUUUUACUUCUUUUUAUUUUGUGCUUAUUAUUUAUUUUUGUUUAUUAUUUUAUUUUAUAUUUUUAUAUUUUAUAUAUUUCAUAAACAUAUGAAGACACUGACUAGCUGAAUCCUCAUGCCAGGUUUUGCAAUCUAGCUGAUAUUUCUAGGACUGACAGUAAGACUAAUCUCCAUAAUCCUACCCUGUAAGCCUUGAAGAAAUCAAUAAAGCUUAAUAAAGCAAUAAAUGCAGCCGAGGAAUUUUUGAGACUGGUAAUGGGUCUUUUGACUUAAGAACAACAAAGUUCAUAACGUGAUAUAAAAUAAAAGGUUAUAGGCUGUUCUGGCAAAAUACUGCAGAGAUUGCCGUGCAGGACAACUUACUAUUAAAUAUGUGAACACACAUAAUCUAUGCCACUCCACCCCAGUGAUCUGACUUAUUUCUGAGGCUGUGACCAGCAAAAGACCAUCCUGGCAUGGUAAUAGUGCUGAAACAUGAGAGAAAAAAAUAUAUAUAUCUUUCUUUAAGUCACAUAUACAUGAACUCAUAAUUCCAAAGCGUACCUUAUUUCUCCUUAAAGGUUAUUAGCAAAAAGCAAUCAAUUUAGCUCCCUAGGCAGUAACAUCAUAUUCCACUCAGAACAAAGGACUAAAACCAAGAUGGGAGAGGCCCAUUUAAAGCUUAAAAGCUCUCCAAGUCUUUCCUGCACAUUGAUAACUAUUUUAAAAAGCCAUCAGCAUGCUUCUCCUUCAAAAAUCAAGGUUAAGUGCACAGCGUUGAUCUGGAUGAAGGAUCCAGUUCUUUCUGCUUAGUGAAAUCACUAGGUAGGAAGAGACUUCUAAUGAAGAGUGUUUCUAAACUAUUUUCAAGCAGGCGAGUUCCUGGGCACCCUCUUUGCGCAUAAUGCUCACCCACGAAGCAAACAAUGAGUAAGAGGCAAAGAAGAGAACAAACUGAAUUCUGGUAGAAACAAAUUGCUCUGUUUUUCAACCAUUGCUUGCCUAUCACUGUGCAAAUAGCACAACUUCUGCGGUGAAGCUCUGAAAAAAAAAAUGGAGCUUCUUAUUUACCAUAUAGAAUAAGCAUCUGUGAUUUUUUUUUUUCCCCCAUCUUCUCUUGUGCUGCCUUUUGCUGAUCAACUGGUAAAACUGGAAUGAUAUAAAGAGCAACAUUAUUUGCCCAAGUACAAAAAACUGCAAAAUUUUGGCAGGUAUACCAAUGGAACACUCAUUUCCAUUAAUGUUGACAAGCCCUAUUUCAUUUUCAUUCUUAUGUGAUUGACUUCAGGUUUCAAUGUUUUGUGAAAAGCAACUGGAAAACAUCUGCCAUUCAAUUUCUGCUCUGAUAGAAACAUUUUCUGUUUCCUCGUUCACAUACCACACCAUACUGCGCUUUCCAAUUUUCUCAAGAUUUCUUACAAAAUGUACUUUGAACAAUGAACUUUGCAACAUUUUAGCCUGUUAAAGUAAAUCAUGCAACUUUAAAUACCUUUCAAAUUUUAAUGAUCGUGACAUUCCAAUGAAGGAGAUUAAAAAUAAAUACAAACAUCCCAAAUUGAUUGCCCAAAUGUUUGCAGGUGUUAAUGAAGUAUUUCCUUUCCGUCAUUACUUUUACCUGUACCAAAAUUUGUAAUGAUGCCAUAAACAUGUACAUUUUAUCUGGUUAAAAAAAAUUGUUUAUUUAGAGAGAAAAUAGUGAGUUUGCCUACUAGUUUCUUCCAACUCCACGCACUUGACAAAAUGGUAAUAUGAGACUGACAAGUUGUCAGAAUUAAAUAGCUGUUACAGUAUUUCAGGAGGUAGCACACAAAUUUCUUUUGUAAGACCUGACCUUUUUUGAAAGUCAACUCCAUCAUUUAGUGAUCACACAUUUUGCAUAAAACAUACAGGAAAGAAAAGAACUGCAGUAUGUCUGAUGAAGAUUCUUUAAAGACAAGUGGAUUUAAAGGGGCUGGAUUUUAUGUUUUGGGGUUUUCUUUUUUAGUUCACUUUGAAUAAAUGUUCCUUUGGAAAACCCUUCUCUUAGCUUUAACAGCUUUCUUCCAUAUUAUCAUGUCUCAUCUUCUAGACCAUGCCAAAGAAAAAUUAAGUCUGUGAGACCUCAAGAAAACUUCAGUUAUUCUUAAAGAUUACUUUACUAUAUAAAAAUAUAAGAAUUUUCUUCAGUAUAUGCAAAUGCCCUUUACUCUUCAGGUAUUGGCAGUGCGGAUCCCAUUGCAUGUUUCUGGCAUGGGUCCUUUAGCUCUCUGGAUGAUGGAGAAGUGUUGGUCACAUCACUUAAGGAGGGAUUCAAAUACUGCUUUUUCUGAUCUAACAUCAAGUUCACACCCAUGUGAGUGUACAAUUCUCACAAAGUUACAUAUAAUAGCCCACAGGUCAGAUUUGCAGAUUUCUGAAUCCACUGAACAUAAUAGCAGCAGCAGCAAGCCCUGACAAGCAGCAAGGGAAGUACUGUCACCAGUGGCAAGAGCAGCAUGAUGCAUUGAGUUAUCCAUUUUGAGAGACUUUGUGAUGAAAUGUCUUGGCCUUCAAAGCAGCCUCAUACCGACAAAAAUAUUUAAUUUCAUCAGUGUCACCAUGUUAAGCAAGGUAUAUGUAGCAAUGAUGCCAUUUCAUCUUUAGACUGGAGUGCACAAUGUAAGUUUACUGUCUGACUUGUACAAAGGGUUGAAAGCAUUGUUGCUCACAUUGUGCAAAGAACUCAGGAGGAGAUUUCAUUUUUUCAUCUAUUCAGUUUCUUAAAAAAGAAAUAAAGGUUGUCUGGUCAGCACUACUGGGGUGCCUCUAAGACAGUGCCACUUGUGAUGUCACAAUAAAUCUGGCUCAUUGGGAUAAAAAAGCCAGGUUGGAGUGAAAGGCCAGUCUGGGGCAGUCUGGUACUACGUGUGCAAAAGAGAAUAACAUACAUGGGAUGUCUUUUCCUGUAUAGAUACAGCCUAUUCAGAUGUUUUUCUAGACUCUAGAAAGACUGGACAGAUGAGGGGCUACUGGUGACCUACAGGAAGUGGAUUAAAGGUUUCUAGAAGUAAGAAAUUAUUUCAAUAAUUCGUCAAGUGGGACCUCUUUACAGGAUGAGGACCAAAGCACUACGAUGGAAGGAGCAAGACUGUUUUUACAAAUUAGAAAUGGAAUGUGGGGAUAGUCCACAGGAACACUCAGGGACUUACUUAAGAAGAAGUCAAAGAGAACAAGAGACUGGAAGAAAUUACUCUCACCCCUCAAAGAUUUCAAUUAACAGACUGGUAAUAGCAGAUCAUCUGGGUUUAGAGGCAUUAUGCACUGAAAGGAUCUCUCCCUUUCCUCCUCUUUAGAAUGGAAUUAUCAGCUCUAGUCUGUAUUUUGUCUGUGCACCUAGCAAUGAAGAUUAAUCACUUCUAUUUUCACCGUAUCUCUAAGCAAGACAUUUCCUUUAAGCUACAAUUUUUUUGCAGCUUUAAAAUGCUUAAUAGAAUGCAGUAUUUAAAGUCAAUUUAGAGAUGCUAUAAUACAUAAAUACUAAAUAUAUCCAAAGGAAUAACCAUGGCAGCAGCCUUUCAAUUUCCAUGGAAACCUUACUUAAAACACAAGAUAUAAAUCCUAAAUGAAUGGUAAUCUCUUAAACCUAUAUAAAUUCACUCUUGGAAAAUGCAGUCUACAAACAAAAAAGAUACUGCAGUAUAAGCCUUUAAUAUUUUAAAAAAUUUAGCAAGAAGCAGAACUGCUGGUGCUCCUGAUGCACAGAACUUCUCAUAUAGUCAGCCUGCAAAGCACCCCUCACAGCAGGAGUGCUAUGCUAAUAGCAGCAUCUAGAAAACAACACACCAUGGCAGUGAUGAAAAUAACUUGGAAACUGACAUCUUUCUGUGCAACGUUUUCAAAAGAUUAAAAAUAUACCAAAGUUAUCAACAACAAAAUCCCAUUUUCCAGUGAGAUACUUGUGGCCUGAGGUGGCAGUGAGGAAAGGAUGUCUGCAUAGCUCCAUCCUAUUAAAACAAUAGCAACAGAUGAAGAAAACAAAAUAAAAAAGCUCAACUGAGAGUGAAUUGUGGAAAGAACAUGAAAGAAAUCUCGUCAAGCUCAUCCUCUACCAGAUGAGAGUUCUUGGCAAAAGCUGAGGCCUUAGAAAUGUACAGUCAGCCAGACAGAACAUUAAAGAAACUAUGUAGGAGAUAGUGUGUGGUAUCUGAAUUUAUUAUUUCUUUCCUCCAACCAAGCAUUACAAUAUAUAAAAUAGUAAUUUCCUAGGGUUAAAAAAUACUCUGGAUGAAACACCACAUUAACCUGUCCUGACAAACUUGCAUAUUUUAAGACAUUUCCAGAACUCCAAAGAAAAAGAUAAAUAAAGGUGUCUGCUUCCUUGACAUUCUCUAUACACCUAGAGCCUCUGUGUUGUGGAAUCUGGAAGAGCUCAAACCUCAUGGGCAUGGUGAAAACGGAGAAGUUAGGCAAAGACUAGACAGGGCACUAAAGACCACUUUGUGGCUACUGAGCGUCAUGGUGGAACAGAAAAAGCACUGAGAAAUCAUCUACAUAGGGACUCCAGAUGACCGUUACUUGGAUAUAUAAAGUUAGGAAGGCCCCUAUGCUCCAUAGGCAGAAACAAAACCAUGAUGAAAGCAGUCUCCUAAACAUUUGUCCUGGAAGGAAAGCUAAAGCCAGGUUAAAAUCUAAUAUCUUGUAAUUUAUAGCAAAUGGCUAAUACAGGUCCCAGCAGUAACACUGAUUCUCUUAAUUUACAUUACAUAGAAGAGAAAGGUUUAAAUAUGCACAGUUCCACUGAUUACCUUUUGUAAGAUCAAUGAAUAUCCUGGGUUUCUGAAGGAAUCAUAGAAUCACAGAAUGGUUUGGGUU